UGCAGCUAACCAGAGCUGGAGGUGGAGGGCAUGACAGCAACACUACAUGGGAACACAGUAUACAAAGCAACUGCACAGCUAUACACUGCAACAAAGAACACUAAAUAUUUGGACUGAAUGCGCAGGAAACCGUAAUGAAAAUUAAAAUUCUAAUUGUGACGAGAAACUAGACGACUUGGUAGUCAGGAUGACGAUAGUCAACACAAUUCAAAGACGGGCUCAUGCCCUCCACCUCCAGCUGGGCUUUGUGGCAACCUUCCUUUCCCUUUUUUCUCUUGUGGGUAUAAGUGAGAUGUGAGUGGAAUGUGUGCAGGUGCAGACCACUGGAUGAUUAUCUGAGUGGUCCACCUGAAACUCAUCUACCGUCACCAUAAAAGCCAGGAUCAGACCACUACACGAUACUGUACCAUUGAACAACUCCAGUUCCAUGACCUUUCCUGCCCACGCUGUCUGCCUCCUGCCAUAUCUCCAGUCCGCCAGCCUCAUCCAACCUGGCCCUGUCCAGGUUCCCUCUCAGGAAUCUCCUCCUGGUUCCUGCACCUGCCAAGAUGACACUGGCACCACGACACAGGCCUCCUCCAUCCACAAUCCCUCACCCUCUGUCUCCGUCAGGCCAUCAGCUAAGUCGGCGCUGCGCUUUCUCUGGGAGAGAGAGAAGAGGGAGAAGAAGAUCCAGGAGAAAGAAGAGGAAGACGAGGGUCCAGGAGAAGGAGAAGAUGGAGAAGAUGAUCCUGAAAAGAGAGAAAAAGAUCCUGGAGAGGAAGAAGUUCAGUGGGAGGGCAGAGGUGCAGGGAGCAGCAUGGAGAACUAAAGAGAGGAAAAGCAGGAAAGACAUAGGUGGGUCUACGCAGAUUCCGGUCCUUCACACCAACCCCAUGAAGCAUCUGGACCAAAAGUGAGAAGAGGAUGAAGAGGAAAAGUCAGUAAUUCAUAGUGACUGGUAGCUGUGAAUACACAGGACUCAGGGGUAGAAUUCAAGGUUGAGGAUUCGCAGUUCAAACUGAGUCACACUGCUGUUAGAUGAGUACAGACCAGUUUCUUCCCCAGAAGAUGGUAGACCUUCUUUCGACGAGUGCGGUCACUCCUAUGGCGUUUGGCAGCGUGGAGCAGUGACGCCAUCCACACAGGAAGUCUGUAGAAAGAGGAGGAGUUACAGAUAUAGCAGAAGAAAAUAUGCACUUGGGCAUAACACAACUGAAAAAAACAAUCCCUAAGUCUGUGUCAGAUUAGUGCAGUGGUUGUAUUAGCAGCAGUUGUGCAAUUGUCAUACUCAUCUGAAAGUACCCGAAAAUAUCAUCUAAAAUAGCCACGCAAACUGAACAUGGAACUUCAGUCAUUUGCCAUGCAUGCUGCUAAAUUAAAACUCUUAAAAAUGAAAUAAAAAAUACACGGCAGAUCCAAGAAAUCAUGUAAAAUUGCUCAGCUGUUCAUUCCAGAAGAAAAUGUUUGCGUCCUCAUUAAUCGCUUCCUAGCACUGUUGGCAAACCACAAAUAAUGGGCCAUGAUCUCCUUUUCUGACACUGAUCUGUAAGUGUCACGAAAAGCCGCAGUUUCAAAAUGUGUACUGGGUUUAUGCAUAACGUUUGUGCUGAACUAGAG
ensembl:lncRNA